UACGUAGGGCGCAAGCGUUGUCCGGAAUUAUUGGGCGUAAAGAGCUCGUAGGCGGUUUGUCGCGUCUGCUGUGAAAACCUAAGGCUCAACCUUGGGCUUGCAGUGGGUACGGGCAGACUAGAGUGCGGUAGGGGGUGACUGGAAUUCCUGGUGUAGCGGUGGAAUGCGCAGAUAUCAGGAGGAACACCGAUGGCGAAGGCAGGUCACUGGGCCGCAACUGACGCUGGAGGAGCGGAAAAGCAUGGGGGAGCGAACAGG
rnacentral:rRNA from 1 species